GUAAAGUAGAAGUGGCUGGAAUAAGUAGUGUAGCGGUGAAAUGCAUAGAUAUUACUUAGAACACCAAUUGCGAAGGCAGGUCACUAUGUUUUAACUGACGCUGAUGGACGAAAGCGUGGGUAGCGAACAGGAUUAGAUACCCUGGUAGUCCACGCCGUAAACGAUGCUAACUCGUUUUUGGGCUUUCGGGCUCAGAGACCAAGCGAAAGUGAUAAGUUAGCCACCUGGGGAGUACGUUCGCAAGAAUGAAACUCAAAGGAAUUGACGGGGGCCCGCACAAGCGGUGGAUUAUGUGGUUUAAUUCGAUGAUACGCGAGGAACCUUACCAAGACUUAAAUGGGAAAUGACAGGUUUAGAAAUAGACCCUUCUUCGGACAUUUUUCAAGGUGCUGCAUGGUUGUCGUCAGCUCGUGCCGUGAGGUGUUAGGUUAAGUCCUGCAACGAGCGCAACCCCUGUCACUAGUUGCUAACAUUCAGUUGAGGACUCUAGUGAGACUGCCUACGCAAGUAGAGAGGAAGGUGGGGAUGACGUCAAAUCAUCACGGCCCUUACGUCUUGGGCCACACACGUAAUACAAUGGCCGGU
rnacentral:rRNA from 3 species